UAUUGCCAGCCACUGACCAAAUUUCAUGCAUGCGCAUGGACAAUCUUUCUUCAGCUUUGCAGGCGCGCGCUCUGUCUAGCAAAGGAAACACACUGAUUGUGUGCAACCACGAACAAGAAAAAAGAAAGAUAAGGGUCCAGCUUGUUGAAACAAGGAAAUGUCCAUGUCAAACAUAGUCACUUCACUUGCUUUUCUACUCUUAGGAUUUUUUCUGUCCCUUUGUGACUAGCUCUAUGAUCAGUAGAGAAGACAUAGCACAAUAAGUAUGUUCUUUGGACAUAUCCAUUUAUAUUUCGAAGUCCAUUCAUGCUCUUGACUUCAUCAGAACUCCACAAGUAAAUGAUCUUUCCAUUAGUGCAAAAUACUAUAUAUACUCCUAAGAUUUUACUUCAAAACCAAUAUUUUGGAUCUUCCUUUGUAACUUGCACCCCAAUAUUUUCCACAUCUUCUUGCUUAAUCCACAGUAGUGUUAGUAUUUCUUCUUUCGUGCUUUCACAUACUGCUGCUGCUGCUUCCUGCAGCUCUCAACCUGUCAAAUUAUGAGACCAUAUUCAUGCACGUUUAAGUGGUACCGAUUUUAUGCAAAAAUCCAGCUGAUUGGAUUUUUUGAGUGCCUUCCACGCUUAAAAAGGGAGCAUAUAUAAUUCACAUACGUGCAUUUGCCAAACUUCUCAGCAAAGCAUGAACUUAUCAUGAAUUUAUGAUAUCAUGAUAUAUAUUGUAAAAAUGCAUGCUUUCAUCAUGCUAUAUCAUAGAUUUGUAUAGCUGAAAUUCCAAGAUAAGGUGGUCGGUCCAAUAAUGUAUUUCUUCAUCUAAGGCCAGGGCCUUCGGCUUAAUUAAUGCUACUCAUAUCCUGCCAAUAUAUAAUUAAGAAGGUGAUGUCUCGAGCUUGAGUGAUCUUAUACGAAAAUACUACCUCGCACAAAUGCGGCAAGAAGAACAGAAAGGCUUCAUUCUAAUAUUUCAAAGUUGAAAUUACAGGCAGAUUUGAUAUCGAUAAUCUCAUAGAUUCCAUAAACAGCACGUACAUGGCCGCUAGACCAUAGGCUACACAAUAUUAAACCUUUACGUACUUGCUUGAAGUACUCCCUUUACUCACACCAACUCUCAGCUCCCACAAUCCACUUAAGAAACAUUUCAUCUUACAAGAAAUUAAACAUAAUGGUUUUCGAUAGUCUAGUUUUGUUGUAUUAACUUAAUUUAUAUAUGUGCUAUAGCUAGGACAACAACAGUUAAAGCUACAUAUGUUGUUUUAUGUUUUAUUAUGUACAGGAACUUAAUUAAAAUCAUAAUAAUUUCCCUUGGCUUUCAAACUGAAACAUCCUAUGAUCAGUUUAUGCCAUGAAUCAUAGAUUUUGGCUGGAUAUAAUCACUUCCAUAGAUCAAUUUGACAACUGGAGGUUGACGUCGAGGCGUUUUCCUGCACGGAUGCUUCUUGCUUAUUCAAGUGUGUAACAAGUAUGUUUGCUGCCUCGACUGAUGAUGCGUUGAAAAUGUUGUUGCUAGCAUUUGGGUGGUAAGUUUCCUUGAUCACAUCUUCGUGGCUCAAUUGAGAAGCAACAAAUUUGUCAAGCACUCUCCAGUCUGUGACUUGAUCAACUGCUUGCUCAUGAUUGCUGCUGUUGUUACCAUAGAUGGUGGGAAAUCUUUUCUCAUGUGUUUGUUGAACGUGAUCUUCUUGUGUGAGUGUUGAGGAUUGAAAAGUGCUUGUCUGGUUUAUGUCUAGGCCGUAUGCAGCAUUGAUGGAAUUGCAACUUAAUGUAGGAGCCGAUUGCAGAAGUUUAGGACUUUGUAGAAGUGGGAGCUGGAGGAAGUGAUCAUGAGGGAUUUGGUACUGAAAAUCCAGCUCUUUCUUGCAGGAGUAAGGGAAUUGAUAACCUAAGUCAGGCUGGAAGUUUUGCUUUGGUGAAUCCAAGUCAUGCAUGAAUGCAACUUGAUCAUCAUACCAGCAAACUGAUUCAUGCUCACUCACUUUUGUCAUCGUUGGAAUUCUCUUCUUGAACACCCUACACACAACCCAACCUUCUUCCUGCAACAAAAUUACAUGUAAAAAAAAACUUUCACACUCGAAAAAAAUUGUGCAGCUAUGGUUAAGACUUAAAAAUUAAUGGCUUACAAGAAAACACUAAAUGAAGAAA